rnacentral:rRNA from 1 species
GAUGAACGCUGGCGGCGUGCCUAAUACAUGCAAGUCGAGCGAACAGACGAGGAGCUUGCUCCUCUGACGUUAGCGGCGGACGGGUGAGUAACACGUGGAUAACCUACCUAUAAGACUGGGAUAACUUCGGGAAACCGGAGCUAAUACCGGAUAAUAUAUUGAACCGCAUGGUUCAAUAGUGAAAGACGGUUUUGCUGUCACUUAUAGAUGGAUCCGCGCCGCAUUAGCUAGUUGGUAAGGUAACGGCUUACCAAGGCGACGAUGCGUAGCCGACCUGAGAGGGUGAGCGGCCACACUGGAACUGAGACACGGUCCAGACUCCUACGGGAGGCAGCAGUAGGGAAUCUUCCGCAAUGGGCGAAAGCCUGACGGAGCAACGCCGCGUGAGUGAUGAAGGUCUUCGGAUCGUAAAACUCUGUUAUUAGGGAAGAACAAAUGUGUAAGUAACUAUGCACGUCUUGACGGUACCUAAGCAGAAAGCCACGGCUAACUACGU